rnacentral:lncRNA from 1 species
UCGCUUGUUCCUAGUCAACCAUCAUCGUGCCAGUGAAAUCAUGGCCUAAACAUCACUAAGAAUAAAGAAAGAUCUCUUUAGCAACCUUCCUUCCAAUUUCUCUUGGGUUAUAUGUUGGGAUUUCAAUGAAGUAUUGCCAAUGUCUUACCUAAGGCCAAGGAGGCCCAACUUUAGAGUCAGUACAUCCAAACUCACUCAGAGGUGGGUGUAGCCGAACCCCAGACCUAGGCUACCUUGGAUGAGGAAGAUCCCAAAGACACGCAGGCCCAACUUAAGGAGUUAUACUUUUAAGCUGAUGGAGAAAGAAAGAGUCGAAGAUCGGACC